UACGUAGGGUGCAAGCGUUGUCCGGAAUCAUUGGGCGUAAAGGGUGUGUAGGUGGCGCGCUAAGUCGGGUGUGAAAUUUCGGAGCUUAACUCCGAAACUGCAUUCGAUACUGGCGUGCUUGAGGACUGGAGAGGAGACUGGAAUUCAUGGUGUAGCAGUGAAAUGCGUAGAGAUCAUGAGGAAGACCAGUGGCGAAGGCGGGUCUCUGGACAGUUCCUGACACUGAGACACGAAGGCCAGGGGAGCAAACGGG
rnacentral:rRNA from 1 species